rnacentral:rRNA from 1 species
AACGAACGCUGGCGGCAGGCCUAACACAUGCAAGUCGAGCGAGACCUUCGGGUCUAGCGGCGGACGGGUUAGUAACGCGUGGGAACGUGCCCUUCUCUGCGGAAUAGCCACUGGAAACGGUGAGUAAUACCGCAUACGCCCUUCGGGGGAAAGAUUUAUCGGAGAAGGAUCGGCCCGCGUUAGAUUAGAUAGUUGGUGGGUAACGGCCUACCAAGUCUACGAUCUAUAGCUGGUUUUAGAGGAUGAUCAGCAACACUGGGACUGAGACACGGCCCAGACUCCUACGGGAGGCAGCAGUGGGGAAUCUUAAACAAUGGGCGCAAGCCUGAUCUAGCCAUGCCGCGUGUGUGAUGAAGGUCUUAGGAUCGUAAAGCACUUUCGCCAGGGAUGAUAAUGACAGUACCUGGUAAAGAAACCCCGGCUAACUCCGUG